GGAAUCUGCCUGGUAGUGGGGGAUAACGUCCGGAAACGGGCGCUAAUACCGCAUACGUCCUGAGGGAGAAAGUGGGGGAUCUUCGGACCUCACGCUAUCAGAUGAGCCUAGGUCGGAUUAGCUAGUUGGUGGGGUAAAGGCCUACCAAGGCGACGAUCCGUAACUGGUCUGAGAGGAUGAUCAGUCACACUGGAACUGAGACACGGUCCAGACUCCUACGGGAGGCAGCAGUNGGGAAUAUUGGACAAUGGGCGAAAGCCUGAUCCAGCCAUGCCGCGUGUGUGAAGAAGGUCUUCGGAUUGUAAAGCACUUUAAGUUGGGAGGAAGGGCAGUAAGUUAAUACCUUGCUGUUUUGACGUUACCAACAGAAUAAGCACCGGCUAACUUCGUGCCAGCAGCCGCGGUAAUACGAAGGGUGCAAGCGUUAAUCGGAAUUACUGGGCGUAAAGCGCGCGUAGGUGGUUCAGCAAGUUGGAUGUGAAAUCCCCGGGCUCAACCUGGGAACUGCAUCCAAAACUACUGAGCUAGAGUACGGUAGAGGGUGGUGGAAUUUCCUGUGUAGCGGUGAAAUGCGUAGAUAUAGGAAGGAACACCAGUGGCGAAGGCGACCACCUGGACUGAUACUGACACUGAGGCGCGAAAGCGUGGGGAGCAAACAGGAUUAGAUACCCUGGUAGUCCACGCCGUAAACGAUGUCGACUAGCCGUUGGGAUCCUUGA
rnacentral:rRNA from 1 species